rnacentral:lncRNA from 7 species
GAGGGGCGAGCGCCGCCCGUGAGGAGAGCGGCGGUGCCCGCGGAGCCCGCGCUGCGCCUCAUUCCCGCGCUGCCGUGUGAGGCCGCGGCUCAGCGCUGCGUUCAGCCCGGGCUUCCCGCUCUCUGAAAGACAGCGAGGCCCUGGAGCGUCCUGAGGGAGGCAGCGACGCUGUGAGACACAUGGCCCUCAGAACCCCAGCGCUUGGCUCCUGGCAGGGCAGAAGACAUUGUGACAUGGCGGCACAGCAGCAGCAGGAUGUCCCCUUGGAGAAUCUGCCAAGUCUACUUGGAGAACACGUCCAUGGCAUUAAGAUAUUCCACCAGCCCUGAGUGCUUCGUAAUCUCACUGGAACAGAAUACUGAAAGCUGCAAAGUUUACUGUACUGCUGUUCACCAGAUACCACUUGUGAACACAGAUAUGUCAUUGUCAGUGAGCUCUAAACACCCUAAAAGGUUUAAGGCUAAUAAACCUGACUGAUACCC